rnacentral:tRNA from 1 species
UGGCUUAGACGGUAAAGCGUCUGCCUACAAUGCAGGAGACCCAGGUUCGAUCCCUGG